UACGUAGGGGGCAAGCGUUGUCCGGAAUCAUUGGGCGUAAAGCGCGUGUAGGCGGUUCAGUAAGUCUGCUGUGAAAGUCAAGGGCUCAACCCUUGAAUGCCGGUGGAUACUGUCGGGCUAGAGUCCGGAAGAGGCGAGUGGAAUUCCUGGUGUAGCGGUGGAAAUGCGCAGAUAUCAGGAGGAACACCGAUGGCGAAGGCAGCUCGCUGGGACGGUACUGACGCUGAGACGCGAAAGCGUGGGGAGCAAACAGG
rnacentral:rRNA from 1 species